AGAGUGUUAUGAUGUUGGAGGCGACUCCGAGUCUAGCUCUGCUUUCCCUGCUAAAGAUGGCUUUAGCAGGG
rfam:Sphingobacterium faecium PCAi_F2.5 genome assembly, contig: Scaffold42